rnacentral:ncRNA from 1 species
CGCGCGGCGGAUGAAAAGGGAACGCGGUGAAAAACCGCGGCAGCCGCCCGCUACUGUGAGAAGGACGAAAGCGCGGACACGGGGUUUCCCGUGUGGUGCCACUGGAGACGGAUUUGCCGCCUCCGGGAAGGGCCGCGCCGGUAGGAGGAUUUCGAGCCAGGAGACCUGCCUUGCAUGUUUA